AUACGAAGGUCCCAAGCGUUAUUCGGAAUCACUGGGCGUAAAGAGUAUGUAGGCGGUUUGGUAAGUCAGGUGUGAAAUCCCGAAGCUCAACUUCGGAACUGCAUCCGAUGCUGCUAGACUUGAGUAAUGGAGAGGCAGGUGGAAUUCUCGGUGUAGCAGUGAAAUGCGUGGAUAUCCAGAGGAAGACCAAUGGCGAAGGCAGCCUGCUGGACAUUUACUGACGCUCAGAUACGAAGGCUAGGGUAGCGAAAGGGAUUAGAAACCCUUGUAGUCC
rnacentral:rRNA from 1 species